CCUACGGGUGGCUGCAGUCGAGAAUCAUUCACAAUGGGGGAAACCCUGAUGGUGCGACGCCGCGUGGGGGAAUGAAGGUCUUCGGAUUGUAAACUCCUGUCAUGUGGGAGCAAAUUAAAAAGAUAGUACCACAAGAGGAAGAGACGGCUAACUCUGUGCCAGCAGCCGCGGUAAUACAGAGGUCUCAAGCGUUGUUCGGACUCACUGGGCGUAAGGCGUGCGUAGGCUGUUUCGUAAGUCGUGUGUGAAAGGCGCGGGCUCAACCCGCGGACGGCACAUGAUACUGGGAGACUAGAGUAAUGGAGGGGGAACCGGAAUUCUCGGUGUAGCAGUGAAAUGCGUAGAUAUCGAGAGGAACACUCGUGGCGAAGGCGGGUUCCUGGACAUUAACUGACGCUGAGGCACGAAGGCCAGGGGAGCGAAAGGGAUUAUAUACCCCUGUAGUC
rnacentral:rRNA from 1 species